rnacentral:tRNA from 1 species
GGCUCGUUGGUUUAGGGGUAUGAUUCUCGCUUUGGGUGCGAGAGGUCCCGGGUGAAAUCCCGGACGAGCCC